CGGCGUGCUUAACACAUGCAAGUCGAACGGUGAAGGGGAGCUUGCUCCCCGGAUCAGUGGCGAACGGGUGAGUAACACGUGGGCAACCUGCCCCAGACUUCGGGAUAACGCUUCGAAAGAGGUGCUAAUACCGGAUACGAACUCCUUGGGCAUCCCGGGAGUUGGAAAGUUUUUUCGGUCUGGGAUGGGCCCGCGGCCUAACAGCUUGUUGGUGAGGUAACGGCUCACCAAGGCGACGACGGGUAGCCGGCCUGAGAGGGCGACGGCCACACUGGGACUGAGACACGGCCCAGACUCCUACGGGAGGCAGCAGUGGGGAAUAUUGCGCAAUGGGCGAAAGCCUGACGCAGCAACGCCGCGUGAGGGAUGACGGCCUUCGGGUUGUAAACCUCUUUCAGCAGGGAAGAAGCGAAAGUGACGGUACCUGCAGAAGAAGCACCGGCUAACUACGUG
rnacentral:rRNA from 1 species